UACAGAGGGUGCGAGCGUUAAUCGGAAUUACUGGGCGUAAAGCGUGCGUAGACGGUUUUGUAAGUCGGAUGUGAAAUCCCCGGGCUCAACCUGGGAAUUGCAUUCGAGACUGCAAGGCUUGGGUGCGGAAGAGGGAAGCGGAAUUUCCGGUGUAGCGGUGAAAUGCGUAGAUAUCGGAAGGAACAUCGGUGGCGAAAGCGGCGCGCUGGACCUCUUCUGACGCUGAGGCGCGAAAGCCAGGGGAGCAAACGGG
rnacentral:rRNA from 1 species